GACGAACGCUGGCGGCGUGCUUAACACAUGCAAGUCGAACGAGUGGCGAACGGGUGAGUAACACGUGGGUGACCUGCCCUGCACUUCGGGAUAAUCCUGGGAAACUGGGUCUAAUACCGGAUAGUGUGGGAUGGGCCCGCGGCCUAUCAGCUUGUUGGAGGUGUAAUGGCUACCAAGGCGCGACGGGUAGCCAGCCAGAGAGGGUGGAUGGCCAACGUGGGAGUGAGACACGGCCCAGACUCCUACGGGAGGCAGCAGGGGGGAAUAGUGCACAAUGGGCGCAAGCCUGAUGCAGCCCUGCAUGGUGUAUGAAGAAGGCCUUAGGGUUGUAAAGUACUUUCAGCGGGGAGGCGUUACACGCAGAAGAAGCACCGGCUAACUCCGUGCCAGCAGCCGCGGUAAUUC
rnacentral:rRNA from 1 species